CACAGAAGAUUCUUCCAACAUUUUGCACGCCACCUAUUUGCUAAUAUGCCUCUGAAAAUAUAAAAUAUUAAAUCUGUGUGUCUUUUGCAUUCUAAUUAAAGAAUAGGUUUUGCAGUUGCCUUGGAUUGGAUUAGAGCGGUGAAGCUUCUCAUCUAUGGCUGGUGGUGUGGCUGGGCUCAAAACAAAGCUUGCAGAUAUCAGUUAGAAGCGGUGGCCGAAGUCGUUACCUUAACCGCAAGAUGAGCUGCGAAUCCAGAGAAACUGGAUGAUUAAUGGCGGCAUGCUUAACACAUGCAAGUUGGAUAGGAAAUGGUGUUUCUAGUGGCGGAUGGGUUAGUAAUGCGUAAGAACCUGCCCUUGGGAGGGGACCUCUCCUACUAUGCCAUUUGCUUUUGCUGUAUUCAUGGAUCAGCUAUUGCUUGCAAUGCAAGCACUGAAUGUUUUCCUUGGAAGGUCAACAGAAGAUUUUGAUGUUGACAUAGACUUAGGAAGAGAAUAGUAUGCUUAUAAAAUCUCUGGAUAACAGAUUGUCGUUUCGUCACCGGUGUUUUUUUCGACUUGUUUCCUUCUUGUUUCAAGAGGUAUGCUUAUGCAGAUGUCGAUUGAAACAUUGAAGUUGUGUUUGGAACCGUGUAGGGUGGUUCCUUUAAUUGUCGGCCAAGGGCUAUUUAUGUAUUUGUUGGUCGUGUGCCAUUCUUGUAAGGGUUACACCCUUUGUAUAUGAUGUAAGCUUUUGGGCAUCUUAAUUUGAUUGAUAACAUCUUUGUAUGUUUCGUUACAGAGCAUCCAUUUGACGUAGAUAUUGUAUCUAAGAAUGUGUAAAAUUAGAAUAACACAUGUACUGUGUGCUUAUGUUAUAUACAUUUACAUGAGUAUUGUUAGUGAUCA